UACGUAGGGGGCAAGCGUUGUCCGGAAUCAUUGGGCGUAAAGAGCGUGUAGGCGGCCUGAUAAGUCGGUUGUGAAAGUCAAGGGCUCAACCCUUGAAUGCCGGCCGAUACUGUCAGGCUAGAGUCCGGAAGAGGCGAGUGGAAUUCCUGGUGUAGCGGUGAAAUGCGCAGAUAUCAGGAGGAACACCGGUGGCGAAGGCGGGUCUCUGGGCCGAAACUGACGCUGAGGAGCGAAAGCGUGGGGAGCGAACAGG
rnacentral:rRNA from 1 species